CAGGGACUAGGUUAAAGUGUAAACUUUAAAUUUUCAAAAUUUAGGAUGGGUAAGUAACCCGUUCCUGU
rnacentral:tRNA from 1 species